GAUGAAGAACGUAGCGAAAUGCGAUAAGUAAUGUGAAUUGCAGAAUUCAGUGAAUCAUCGAAUCUUUGAACGCACAUUGCGCUCGCCAGUAUUCUGGCGGGCAUGCCUGUUCGAGCGUCAUUUCAACCAUCAAGCCCCCGGCUUGUGUUGGGGACCUGCGGCUGCCGCAGGCCCUGAAAAGCAGUGGCGGGCUCGCUGUCACACCGAGCGUAGUAGCAUACAUCUCGCUCUGGGCGUGCUGCGGGUUCCGGCCGUUAAACCACCUUCAUAACCCAAGGUUGACCUCGGAUCAGGUAGGAAGACCCGCUGAACUUAAGCAUAUCAAUAAGCGGAGGA
rnacentral:misc_RNA from 1 species